UCCCUGUGGAUGGUGGCAAGGAGACUGAGCACAGCACUGCUGAGCCCCAGCCCCUUGCAGUGUCAGAUGGGGCUGGAAUGCUGCAGGCAUUUAGGUCAGGAGUGAGCUGGAAGGGAAAGAGGAAGGAUCAUCUGCUUUGUGUGAUAGGCCAUCCCCAGGGCUCAUCAGUGCCCCAGGAGCAAGAGAGCCUUCUGAGAUCUUAGAGAUUUCCUGGGUCGCUCGCUCCAUCCUUGGCACAGUAGUGGGUGCCACUACUGUAGUGGGAGCCACCAGCAGUGCAAUAUUGGCAUGCCUUGCCCUCACCAUGGCAUGAAGAAUGGCAGUUCUAGAGGGCUGUGUCCUCUAUUCCUCCUCCAUGUGUAGCAGUCAUGAAACUCCCACCCAGGCUUUCAUUCACAUGCUUAUGGUGAAGUCAAUCAUGAAGAUGGAGCUGGCUUCCAGUGUCCACGCUGUGCUCAGAGGAGGCUGCUCACACACAGGAAGCUCCCAGCUGGGACCAGUGCACAUUUCUGUGCUGAUUUUCAUCAAGAGAUUUAUCUCAUUUUAAGAUAUCCUGUACUGCAGAGACUACCUUAAAUUGAUCAGUGGGAACAUCACAUUCCUCUGGGACAGGAGCAAGUGUCUCAUUGUUCCUUCACUACCGGUCUGCAUCACUUUGUGAAAAUGCAGUCUUGACUCUCAGCUUCCUGAAACUAUCAUGUACUGUUUAUCACGUGCUCAAAGUAAAGCUGUGCACCUGCAAAUUGACCUGAAAAGGAACAGAAUUUUCUUUGCUAAGGGAAAACACAAGGAAGCCCAUGUAACACUCACGUUAACCUGAGAGAAAGAGAUCUGGUUAAACUGCAGACAACAGCCAUCUUCUUUUUACUGAACAUAUUUUGUGCCUGAAAACAGACCUAUUUCUCAGGACUCUGAACAAGUAACUCAGGCUUCUCAGUGUCUCCUGCAGCCAAAGGAAACUGACAACCAGUUCAGAAGGACCAGAACAUCAGCAGACAGAGAUCAGAAUGAGAAAGCCAGCCUUUCAGCACUUAUUUCUGUGAGAACAUGCACAUUAAUUUCAGCAAGGAACUCGCCUAAGUGUUUGGGUUUACAGACAUCACCAUCUUGACUAACAUUCCCUGGGAUUCAAGAUCUAAAUAUCCCUAGGAUGGUUUAAUUAGGAUGGUUUCAACUGUUAGAAGCUCCUUCAUGUAGCUUUGAACCUUUCUACGUGAAAAAAUACAUGCAUACAGUGUCAUGGACAUUAGCGGAAGUCUGAUUUGUCCUGCAAACUUUCUCAACUCAUGCCUGGAGAAGAACAAAGAGCCCUGAAAGAGGUUCCUUCUACCAUGUACUUCUGAAUUAGUUAAAACAGUCAUAAACACUUUCAUUAUAAUUUGUUUUUAGUUCAUAAGGUUUUGCUUCCUCCAAAUUGUUCUGAGUAUUCCACGUAAAACCUAAUACAUAAGCAGAUUUUUAUCUGAGUUCUAUGCUUGCAGUUAGAAACAAGGGCUUUAUAUCCAACUGAUCUAUAUUUAAAUGACCAAUGCUUGUCAUGUUUAUAUUCAUGCCUUAUGAAGAUAAGGCAUGAAUAUGCACACUGUAGGGAUAGCUUUAGCAUCUUCAAAAGUUGGCAGUAACAUGUAUAUAGCUUGUAUUUAAACUGAAAAAAAAAUCUGAAAUGCUUGGUAGUUGUAAGUAGUUAGUAUGUGUACUAUUAAAUUUAUAACUGCAACACUCAGAACUCUUUGUGGGUUAACUGUGCUGAACACGUACCCUUCUCCUUGGUAGCUCCUUGCAUUGCUCUGGCUGGAACAUUUCUAUCUCAAGUAGACAGUUUAAGUGUAACUCCAGCAUUUCUAGGCUAUAUUUCAAUGACAGCAUUUGUUGUACUACAGAUGUGCCUUAAACUUUGUUCAAUGAGUCCUCAGCAGCCCAUUAGUAACACUGAAAAGAUGAAUGAACAGCUCAUUAUAGCUAUAUUUCCCCUUCUGGAAAAGACAUUUCCAUAGACAGAAAGUUACAUCUAGAAGAAUGAAAAUACAUAGCAGAAAUAGAUCAUCUUCAUUCCAGGUCCUGUGGCGAUCCUAGCUGAUUUGGUCUUCUCAAUGAGACCUCUAGGACACUGUAAAAAGUACUGAAUUGUUUUCUCUUUCCAUUGAUAACUUCAGCCAUUUGGAGUCAUAGAACUGGAGGAGGCUCAUCUUUGGUUCAUGUAUACUCUACUUGACAGAGAGUGUUCUUCCUUGCCUAUGCAUUCUCCAUUCAUGCCAGCUGAGGUUCUGGCUUGUUGAGUUCCAUAUUGUUUUGAUCUAGCUUGCUCUGCUAGCUGUGUACAGAGCCCUGGCAACAGCAACUGGCAUAAACACCUUUUAUCUUCUUGCCUGGUAAUUCAAAACUGGGUAAGCAGAACAAUAAUUCUAUGUUCCUUACUAAAAACUCUGAGCAUGCAUUGUAACUUUAUGGGGAAAAAUAUUGCCUGCAAACUUUCAACAGCUGUAACAGGUUGUUCUAAGGGCAUUAGCCACUUGAAGGUCUUUGCAGUGUAUAACUGUGUGUUGAAAAAGGCACUGACAUUUCCUGCUUUCAUUUAAUUGUUUAUGUCUCUUAUUUUCAAUCUCCAAAUCAAAGUAGUGUGUAAAAAAAACAAAAAAAAAAAAAGGCACAAGUUUUUGUGUUUUUGUGUGAAGAGUGCAUUGCUGCUUUGAUGCUUCUUUCUUCUGUUUUAUCUUGUGUUUUCCCCACCCCCAGGUGGCUAGCUUGAGAGAGACCACCAUUUCAAUUUUUCCUGCUCUUUACCCAGUAUAUUCUGCUUUCCCUUUUUCUCAUGUGAGAAAGAUGACAAUUGAAGUGGAGUAACAAAUAUUUAAGAAUGGGACUGUGUUUUCCUCCCAUUUUUGUGUGUGUCCAUGAUACAGCAGAUGUAGGCAUGCCUCCUGUGAAUCUGAAAUAUGCUUAUUAAAGGGAAGUAAAUUUUUUGAUACUUCAAGCUGUGCUUUUCAGGUUCAAUUACGUACACUUAUUUGACACAUCUGUUACUGCUAGCACCAGGAGUCUAUAUAAUUCUUUCACAGACUGUCACCUCUGUGUAAUCUGCGUAAGCCCUGACAGGAAUGCUGACCUUGUGUUGCCCUCCUGCAUUUGUGCCUGGGCAGGUCCAUGGUGACCCUUUACCUUCACAUCAAGAGAAAUGGAGUGGUAGGAGAAUCCACGACAUUUUCAUCCUGAUAACAAAUGACCACAAGUAAGAAGAUUAAUUUCUUUAAGGAGGACAAUUUUUUCCUAAGAUGGAGCAAGACAUUUUUUGGUACUCAUGCCAGGAAACUGUAUGGAGUGUUUCAUGGCCAAAUUCUUUGAGCUGCAUUGCUUUCAGAUUCCUUCCUAAUUAUUGUGAUGUCAGGAAUGUCAUAUCCUAAAGGUCACUUACACAGUCCUAGAAGCAAUGCUUUCUCCCUGUCCUUCUCUCCCUAAGAAAUCACAGUGAAGCGAUCAGGGAUCUAUUCAUAUCUUUGCAUCUUGUUUGAACACACUGAUUGCUUGACUCACAUUUACUAAAUGGUCCAAUCACUGGAAAAUUAAAAUAAACCAGAAACAAAUGAACUCACACUAAUUAAAAAACAAAACAAAACAAAACAAAACAAAACAAAAAAAAAAAAACAAAAAUCAAAAUGGACAUCCCAAACAGUGUCCUUGACAACUAGAGGUUUAAUUCAGCCAGCUGCUAUCUGCCCUAGGAAUGCAGUAUUCUCUUUUUUAUAUAUUCUCUGCCAGCUUCAGAUAUGUUUCUCUGCUUCAGACAAAAACAUCUUUGAGCAUCGUGUCAGUCUAUUAAUGCUGUAGGCAGUCUGCAUGGGACUGUAAUACGAGGUUUCUGAGAACUGACUGGAAAUGGUUUUAUGAAAAAUUUAGCCAAAAUUGUCAAAAUGGUUACUGCCUUGGUAGCUACAGAUAUUUGGACAUGAAAGUCAUCUUUGUGCAUUCAGAAAUUUUGAUAUAACUAGAACAAUAUGAGGGGAAAAAAAAAAAAAAAAAGCCAUUUACUAUAUGCUUUCCAUCCAUUUCUUUCAUCUGUGAAAAAAAGACACUGUACCUUGGGGUUAUUCGGUUGCAUGAAUGGAGGAUGUUCUGAAAGGCACACUUCCACUGCUGCAGAAAUGGCUAAAGAAGCUUCAAGAUAACUUGCUCAGGUAGUGGUACUGGUCUAUUAUAAGCUUACAGACAUCUUCUGGGAGGAGCUCAGAUUCAUCAGGGCCUCAGCAGGACUAGAGACUCAAAUCAUGCCCCUGUGCAGAUAACCAGCCCUCCUGCAGUAGAACUGACCCCAUCUACAACACAGCUAAUGCACGGCCAGGCUGGGCUUCCCAUCUGCAGCUGAAAGCAGGUAGAUCACCUGUGUGGGUGCUCUAGGAGGCUGGGCAGUGUCACAAGCUGCUAACUGUUGUGCUUGGAUCCAGGGUGCUGCAUGAGAAAGUAAGAGGUGUGAAUCAUCUCAAGCAGGGAAGGGGAUGGAGAAAGUGUCUCACAUGAGCCCUAUAAACUCUUAGCCCUAUAAACAGUUGUGUGGGAUAGAGAUUGUGCAACCAUUUUACUUUUUUUUUAAAUUGUUUUAGAAGAACAGUGUUUAACCCAUACAUCUUAGAGAAAUAUGGUGUAUUACUGUUACUUCAGAACUCCAUUCUAGACUAAGCAAUUCUUCCUCUUCCUGUGGCACACAGGGAAAAACUGGAUGCUCUGGAUGUUUGUUGGGAAGGGCACAAGCCACCUCAGUUGUUGUGCAACAUGCCCAGGUAUCCAGUCAAUGCCUCUGUCUCCGCAUGGGUGUUUACUAGGGGUGGUAUUUUGUCCCUGGCUUCCUUAUGUUUUUUCUAUUAGGCUUCAGAAAAAAGAAGAAAAUUCUAAUUCUAAAAGCUAAUAUCUAGCUUCCUUACUUACAAGCUUCUCAUGCUCAGAAGCCUCAUGCAAAACAAAGAAGCAAGCCUUUCUCCUCAUCCUUCUAGGCUCAGCUGCACCUCACGAAGGACAGUGCAGCCUGGGGCAGAGGUCGUCCUUGAUCAGCCAUGAAGGCCUUUGCCACUCAGGCAGCACCACGAAAGUCCACUGUAGAAAAACUUUUGGGUAUAAAAACAUCUGUGUACAAAGAAUUCGGAAACGUCAAAAAGUGGUGUAGUUGUGUACAGAGAAGAAGCUUUACCUCAUUAAGUACUUCUGUUAUGCUGUAACUUGACUUAAAAAAGGAAGCUUGAUUGGUCCAGGCCUUCGAGGAGCUGGAAAAUAAGGACCUAUGCUGAGCAGCAUACAAAAGAGAUCCAGGCUCAGUCUCAUAAAGAAAAAACAUCUAAACAUUUAUGUGAUUACUAGGAACAGUAUAUUCUCCUGCACCCAUGUGCUGCUGGAUGCAUUCCAAGAUAUUAAUAGCAGUGUGGCAGGGCUGUACAUUAUAUUGUUAUUUCCUCCUUGGAGAGAACAGAAUGUUAGACUGUGAGAAUAUGACAUGGAAACUAUGUGAGUUGGCUGCCCUGUUCUACUUUAUUUACUCCUUCCUAGAUCUUCUGACUUUGGGGCUUUUGCAAUAACUUUAAAAAAGAUUCAUUUUUUUGCCCACGAAGAGGAACACUGGAAUUUCUACAUCAGAUCAUAUUGUGGGCAUUAGUCCAGGCUUCUGACUCUAUCUGUCAGAAAUACAACAGACCUGAGGACUCAAUAACACAUUAAGCAAAGGCUAAAUCUUACAUUUUGUUUCAGUUACAAUGGUGACAUACAUUGAUGCUUGCUGAAUGUUUAUGGAGACCAAAUAGUGGAU